GUUUUAGGGUGCGGCCGUCGGCUUCGAGUCUAUAAAUGCACUCCAAUCGCAUUUUCCCCAUUGGCUGCUGAGAUUGUUUUGGAAAAAGGACUUGUGAGAGGCCAUUUUUUUUAUUGAAUAUGAUCUUUGUUAUUGUUACAAGUAGAGGCUCUGAGGAGGGUGAAUUAGCUGGAAUGCUUGAUUUCAUUUUCUAUUUUGAAUCUAUGCAACUUUUAUCUUUUGAUUGUUUGAAUAGAAAGUUAAUUGGUAGAACAGGGGGAAAUGUAGCGAGUGACAUUGUUGUCGAGAUUAGAGCUAUCCAUUGCUCACUUCGCUCAAUUGGCCCAGCCUCGUCUUGGUUGGGCUUCGACAAAAGGAUUUUGUUGAUUGGCUGGUUCUACUAUGCUUGAAUUUAAUUUAAGUAAAAAUUUGCUUGACAA